AUACGGAGGGUGCAAGCGUUGCUCGGAAUCACUGGGCGUAAAGCGAACGCAGGCGGCCCGGCAAGUCGGGUGUGAAAGCCCGGGGCUCAACCCCGGAAUUGCACUCGAAACUGCCGGCCUUGAGUACGGGAGAGGGAAGCGGAAUUCCUAGUGUAGAGGUGAAAUUCGUAGAUAUCAGGAGGAACACCCGUGGCGAAAGCGGCUCUCUGGCCCGAUACUGACGCUCAUGUACGAAAGCGUGGGUAGCAAACAGGAUUAGAAACCCGAGUAGUCC
rnacentral:rRNA from 1 species